CCUACGGGAGACAGCAGUGGGGAAUAUUGCGCAAUGGGCGAAAGCCUGACGCAGCGACGCCGCGUGAGGGAUGAAGGUCUUCGGAUCGUAAACCUCUGUCAGCAGGGAAGAACGGUCACUGUGCUAAUCAGCAGUGAAUUGACGGUACCUGCAAAGGAAGCACCGGCUAACUCCGGGCCAGCAGCCGCGGUAAUACGGAGGGUGCGAGCGUUAAUCGGAAUUACUGGGCGUAAAGCGUUCGUAGGCGGUAUGUCAAGUCAAGGGUGAAAUCUCCGCGCUCAACGUGGGAACUGCCUUUGAAACUGGUAAACUGGAGUGUGUGAGAGGAUAGUGGAAUUCCAGGUGUAGGAGUGAAAUCCGUAGAGAUCUGGAGGAACAUUAGUGGCGAAGGCGACCAUCUGGCACAUAACUGACGCUGAGGAGCGAAAGCGUGGGUAGCAAACAGGAUUAGAUACCCCAGUAGUC
rnacentral:rRNA from 1 species